AGCACAGCCGCGGUAAUACGGAGGAUCCAAGCGUUAUCCGGAAUCAUUGGGUUUAAAGGGUCCGUAGGCGGUCUUGUAAGUCAGUGGUGAAAGCCCAUCGCUCAACGGUGGAACGGCCAUUGAUACUGCAGGACUUGAAUUAUUGGGAAGUAACUAGAAUAUGUAGUGUAGCGGUGAAAUGCUUAGAGAUUACAUGGAAUACCAAUUGCGAAGGCAGGUUACUACCAAUUGAUUGACGCUGAUGGACGAAAGCGUGGGUAGCGAACAGGAUUAGAUACCCCAGUAGUCCCUGUCUCUUAUACA
rnacentral:rRNA from 1 species